CAGUUAUUGUCUCUGGCACCAUCUUGUUUCUUUUAGUUUUUAGUGAUGCUUAUUUAUUCGUCGUUAUCAAACCAACAUGUUUAAAUACUUUUUGGAUAUUCCUACAUUUUGACGGUUAUAAUUAAUUAGCUUAGUAACGUAGUUGAAAUAAUUUAAUCGCCAAAGUAGUCAUAAUUGUCAAUAAUGUUGAUGUCUCCAAAAAUAUUAAAAACAUUUUGUAAUCGUUACGUGUUGUGAUGUUAAUAUAUUUGGAAAAGAGCAAGCCCUGAGUUUCUUAUCGAUUUUUCUCAGAGGUGAAAUUGCAUCCCGUCUUCUUGGUUCGUAUCAUGAGAAAAAAAGCUUCUCUGAAGACUUACCUAAUAAAAAAAUGUAACGAACGUGUGAGGAGGUUUCGUGGUAGAAAAUGUCAUAUAUUUUCGGCCAAGGGUCAAAUUGAGGGAUAAUGUGUUGGCACAGAUGGAUCUAACGCAAAUAACCCUGACAGCCGACGAUUUGGCCCUUGUGCGUCAUCAGGAAGCUGUAAUCAAGGCGCUGAUAAAAGUUUUGCCAGUACUAAAGUGAAGAAACCCGGCCCGCUUUGCAAGACGAAUUUGAUUCGACUUCGAUAUGAUCGCUAUCAAACCAAGCUUCACAAGAUCACCCGUCAGUGCAAUUUGAAGAUUUUCUGAAAUUUUAUCGAAAUCUGUUCAACCAUUUCGAAGUCUAUAGUGAACAUGCAUGUACACAUAAACUUUUAUACAAAUUAAUAUGUUGAUAAUAUUAAUUGUUCUUCAUUGCAUUUCAUUACAUUGUUGAACAUACCAAUAAUACUAGUUUUCACAAUAAAAUGUAAUCACAAUUUGUUCAAUGAUAAUAUGUGUGGACGAAAAUACCUAAUUACUAGAGUAUGUUGAACGUAUUUAUUAAAGCACGUAGUACGUAGAAUGCUUUUAAUAGUGAAUUUUCAUUUUGGAAUAUAGAUGUACAUAUAUAUAAUUGUUAUAAAAGCUAAGUAAAAAGUUUUAUUUGCUUUACGUAAACAUCGACCUGGAGAAAAUGUAGGCACUUAAUUAGAAUACUAAUUUAAUACCUGCCGGGUAAUUUUCGUGAAGAAUGAGCGUUCAGUGUUGGACUGUUUUAUGAUUGGAAGGCAUAAUAAAACGCAAUUUUAUAUCGGGCAAUUUUGAAAGGUCUUAAAGCAAAACAAAAGUCGUUCGAAUAAAAUUUGGCAUAGAUCUUAGGCGCGUAAUACUGUUUUUGUAUAUUGCUUUAUUUGACACGAGUUAGUAAUUUGUAAGUUUGCCUCGCAGUUACACCUAAGGUAAAUUGUUAUUCAAAAAUAAUGUGUACGAAUUAUUUUAUAUUGUCGAAAUUUUACAUAUUAAAGAAAAUGAAAUUAUCGUUUAUUAACA